UUGUUUUUUUCAGGAUUCACUUGCAAUCCACUAUUACUUAUUAUAAACGUAGGAUUGAUUUGUCUGUAUGUGCUGACUGUUGGAUUCUGUAUCCACAAAAAUAAAAGGUUGUCUAGAAGACUGAAGGGAGGGAGGGACAGGGACACAUAUGCCAGUCUGCAGCUCCCCAACAUCAGCCCUGACUAUGACGUACUGCAGGU